GGGGAUUUAGCUUAGCGGCAUAAGCGCCUGCCUUGUAAGCGGGCAGUCGCCAGUUCGAUCCCUGGUACCA
rfam:Cavia porcellus supercont2_7 genomic scaffold, whole genome shotgun sequence.